CUCCUACGGGAGGCAGCAGUGGGGAAUAUUGCACAAUGGGCGAAAGCCUGAUGCAGCAACGCCGCGUGAGCGAUGAAGGCCUUCGGGUCGUAAAGCUCUGUCCUCAAAGAAGAUAAUGACGGUACUUGAGGAGGAAGCCCCGGCUAACUACGUGCCAGCAGCCGCGGUAAAACGUAGGGUGCAAGCGUUGUCCGGAAUUACUGGGUGUAAAGGGAGCGCAGGCGGACCGGCAAGUUGGAAGUGAAAACUAUGGGCUCAACCCAUAAAUUGCUUUCAAAACUGCUGGCCUUGAGUAGUGCAGAGGUAGGUGGAAUUCCCGGUGUAGCGGUGGAAUGCGUAGAUAUCGGGAGGAACACCAGUGGCGAAGGCGACCUACUGGGCACCAACUGACGCUGAGGCUCGAAAGCAUGGGUAGCAAACAGGAUUAGAUACCCUGGUAGUCCAUGCCGUAAACGAUGAUUACUAGGUGUUGGAGGAUUGACCCCUUCAGUGCCGCAGUUAACACAAUAAGUAAUCCACCUGGGGAGUACGACCGCAAGGUUGAAACUCAAAGGAAUUGACGGGGGCCCGCACAAGCAGUGGAGUAUGUGGUUUAAUUCGAAGCAACGCGAAGAACCUUACCAGGUCUUGACAUCCGAUGCAUAGUGCAGAGAUGCAUGAAGUCCUUCGGGACAUCGAGACAAGUGGUGCAUGGUUGU
rnacentral:rRNA from 1 species